AAAUAUUAAUACAUUGUUGCAGCUGCUGUGUAAUUACAACACAAACAAACUGUCAUUCGGUGAAAGAAGCUGCUAGUGGAUGUGCGUAUUUCUGUGCUCAGUAAAACGACAUUAAACAUUUAUUAGGGACGAAUUGAAGCUCACUUGGGACAGGAACUUAUCACUGAAGAACGAGAGAGAGACUGGAGUGAGGACCAUAAAAAACGCGCAGAGGAACACGACAGCCAGAAUAAGCGGAGGCAUGAACAUAGGAAUCUAGUAAUGGCUCCCGGCUUAAAGGAACUGCUGCAGGAGGCGGAGUGUCCAGUAUGUAUGGAGUACAUGCUACCACCAAUCGUCAUGUGCGUGAACGGGCACAGUACUUGUUCCACCUGCAGAGAGAAACUUCUGACCUGUCCAGUCUGCAGGUGCAAAUUUUCAAAAGGCAGAAAUCUACUAGCAGAAAAUUUGAUUGGAAAAAUUAUGUGUCCCUGCCGACAUUCGAACAGAGGAUGCAGUAAGACGUUUAAUUUACUGGGUGUAAGGAAACAUGAAGACGAGUGCGGUCACCGUCCGUUCAAAUGUCCAUUCUCUUCUAUUGCGACUGUAAAAUGUCCCUGGGAGGACAACGUGAGCAAGGUCAUGACCCACAUUCGGGAAAGGCAUUACAUACAUACUGACACAAAAGAAAACGGGAAGCUGAGUGGAGUUAUUAAUUGUAAUGAUCCAAAUAAUUCCGAUUGGCGCAAAGCCAUAUUCAUGUUAGGCGAGAUAUUCUUUAUGACCACCAGAUUUAAGCAAAAUAAUGUUUACGUUUGUCUUUGUCACGUGGGCCUACAGAACAUACCCAGUUACAAAUAUGAAGUGACGAUUAGAAAACGGAAUGGCGCAGGCAGUUUUUCCGAAUGUAAAACAACAAACUCUUUUCAGGGCGAUGUGCAAAAAAUAUUUGAAGUAAAGGACUGUGCUGUUUUCAAAAAGGUACGGUGGAACAAAUGCACUAAUAAACGCAAGAAUUUGUUUUAUAAGGUAUUAAUAUCCAAGAACUGUAAACAAUAAA